rnacentral:rRNA from 1 species
GACGAACGCUGGCGGCGUGCUUAACACAUGCAAGUCGAGCGGUAAGGCCCUUUCGGGGGUACACGAGCGGCGAACGGGUGAGUAACACGUGGGUGACCUGCCCUCAGCUCUGGGAUAAGCCUGGGAAACUGGGUCUAAUACUGGAUAUGACUCCACGGUGCAUGUCGUGGGGUGGAAAGCCUUGUGCGGCUGAGGAUGGGCCCGCGGCCUAUCAGCUUGUUGGUGGGGUGAUGGCCUACCAAGGCGACGACGGGUAGCCGGCCUGAGAGGGCGACCGGCCACACUGGGACUGAGACACGGCCCAGACUCCUACGGGAGGCGGCAGUGGGGAAUCUUGCGCAAUGGGCGAAAGCCUGACGCAGCGACGCCGCGUGAGGGAUGACGGCCUGG